ACAGGCAGGUCUCAUCUUAUUUGGAUGCCUGUUGUAAGCUUGUAAUCCGCUCUGUUGGCCACCACAGCUCCUCCAUUUGAUGACGACGGGCCAUUUGUUCCAGGGUCCCAUGGCCCAACACUGUUUCACUGGGGAUUAAGUUCCUAACACAGAAAAUUUGGAAGACACAUUCAACCAUAGGACUCCCCAUCUCUGAAAUAAUCACUGAGACGAAGAGGUGAGGUUAUACUGACACCAACAGGGGCAGGGUCAACCCACUCAAAUCAUGGCUUCUACACAUGGAGGAAGGGCAGGCUCAUGGAUGGAAGGGACUUGCCUUGUCUCAGAUGAGACUUUGGACUGCAGCUUUUGACUUAAUGCUGAAAUGCGCCUUUGGAAAAAACACUGAGAAAGCAUUUCAGGUAUCUGCCAUGGAAAAUACCAUCAAGUGGGACACCCGCAGCGAUCUCUGUACCCACAAAAGUCACACUUGCUAUCCUUGGUGAAUUUUCCUUAAAAACUGUGGAUGAACUUCCAGUGACUGCGUAAAUAAGACCCCCAGGAUGAAGGUCAUGUAACCUGAGCAUGCCCAGAUGAACCAAGUGUGCAAUCACAGGGGGAACCUAAGUGCCCAGACUGAGGAGCAGAGACUGAAUUAAGAAGCAGACACUGCAUGUCAGGAUCCAGGAUCCAAUCAGAUCGAGCUCUGGCAUUGCCCCACGGUCGAUAGCAGGAUCCAGUCAGAUCAUGCCUCCCAGCAUCACUUCAUUGCAAGAUCCAACCAGAUCACACCUCAUUACCCUAUGUUUAUAAAACCUGACCCAAACCCAG